GGCAGCCGGGGCCGCGGAGCCCUUCCCCCGUCUCCUCCCCGCCCGGCCCGGGGGGGACGGGGGCAGCGGCGGCCGGGCGGGGAAAGCAGGAGGGGCAGCGCCCGGCAACAUGGAGGGAGGCGCGGAGCGGGCCGGCCCCUGAUGCGGCUCUUCCUCCUCCUCCUCCUCCUCCUCCUCCUUCUCCUCCUCCUCCUCCUCCUGCUCGGGGCAGCGGCUCCGGCGGCGCUUCGCUUCCCUCCCGGCGGCGAUGAGCAGGUCGGCGGCGCUUCUCCUCUGCCUGCUGGGCUGCAACGUCUGGAAGGCGGUGACCAAAACCUUAGGGGCGCCCGAGGCGGCUCAAGAAAGAUAGCUGCAGAAGUCAACUUAGCAGACAUCCUUAGAGAAAGGAUCAAAGCUGUGUCAUGUCACACGUUAACCUUCAGCACAGACAAAUCUUUGGGCUUUCAGAGGAUGGGGAAGAUACUCAACUUGUGCAGAAGAUGAGUUGAGGAGUACAGAGAAAGCACAGUGAUGGAGAUGGCACACUGUCCAGGUGAGGGCUGGGAAGUAAACCCAGGCCAUACAAGAACCGAGGGUCUUAACUUCUGCUGCUUUUACUUCAGUGUUCAGGGACUGUUUAAGGAAUUUACUGGUAUUCAGCCAGCAGUUACUGCAGGACCCUCACAAAAUUAUUUUCAGGUUUCAUCACCUUUUUCUUGCCAUUCCAUGCUUUUCUUUGUCACGCUUGUGUGAGCAUAAGGAGAAAUGCCAGGAGCUGCCUGGCCGUGGGCAAUGAAGCUUCCCCAGCCUGGGCUGGUGUUCAGCACGUGUGGAAGGCAGACAGCAGCCGCCUCGGUGACCAGUUGCUGCUAUCCUGAUGUUCGAAUUUGAGGUUGGUUUUUGUAAGUAGACACAGAAUCACUUGUCCCCAAAAUGGAUGAUGAUCUUGGUUUCUGAAUCUGUCUAAUUAAAGUAAGAAAAAAAUACCAUAAUGAUGAUAAGGUGGGCAUGUAAAACUUCAGUGUAGGAAGCGAAAUUUGAAUGGAUUCCAGCUACAAGUACUAAAAACCUUCUUCCUUUUCCUCUUAGUCUUUCCCUUACCCACUCCCUAUUGAAUUGAGCUAAAUUUUAAACCUAAUUUCAAUCUACCAGAAGACAACCUACAUUUCCAAAAGCGGUCAUGUAAACAGAUCUGUAUUUCAAAUGUAACUUGCAAGUUUGAUGUUAGUAACAUCAGUCUCAUUUCAUCUUCCUAAGCACCAGGGGAACAAAACACCUUAAAUCCAAGGUGCUGUUGGAAAGUCAGUGAUUGUUUGUAGUUAACAGUAAAGAAAAUAUUGUAAGAAGCAAUUAUUUUAUCUCAGAGUGAGGCAAUGCAAACAAACCUUGAUUUCAGAGAAAUAUGCUGGUAACUAACUGAUCUUGUAAGUAAUGCUGUCUGUGGUCCUAGUAUAAUAUUUGGUUUAGAUUUCUUUGGUUUAAACCCAGACUGAUGGCUUCAGAUACGAUUUUAUGAGGUAGCCAUAUAUUGUGUUAACAGGGCCUUUUUGCCCAAGGGGCAAAUAAACUGCUGUAUGCUUUAUAGCACGUUAAACAGAAUAGGGGAGAAGAAAAGAACCUAAUGAUAAGCCCAUUGAUCCUUUUCUUUAUCAUGAAUUAUUCAGGCACUGGUGUGAUUGAUUGUUGUUAGGUUUUACUGGUUUUUAAGCAUUGUAGAGAUGUGGUGUAGUAUGUAAACAUAAUUAGGUGUUAUCUUCAUGCUUCAAGUUAUCUUGGUUUGUGUUGGUUACCUGAUUUCUGAGACAAAAACAGUGAAUCAUGAUGGACAGUUUUCCUUCAUGGCCCUGAAAAAGUAUGGAUUUUGUGUUUGCCCAAAUCCUCACGUGUUCUCACUUCUAGAAGAGUGGGAUGGACACAGCUGUGGACUGGAGCCCUCGGCGUUUGUGCACACAUGUGCCGAUGCGCGCACAUGCUAGCCGUGUAAGGCCAUAUGGUAUGAAUCAAGCCUUACCUCACGGUAGUAAAAAUGUAAUGCAUUUUCCACCAUUUUCAGCUAUGUGUUCGUGGUAGGGUAUCCUGUGCUUUGAACGACUUAAGUGAUUGUCUUCUGUCCAUGGUCAUUGUUCUGUGGAAUUAAUGUGUUAUCCAGGAUACUUGGCUUAAAUUUUGUCCUUGGAUCGCUGUGGC
rnacentral:lncRNA from 1 species